CUGCUCUGAGGUGACCGGUUCCCUCGCUCGGUGGGCUUGAGGUGGAGCGUUGGUGGCAUUUCCUCAGCUGCAGGUGGAAAGGUGCUGAGGGAAUGGCCCUGGAUUUCGGUGGCAGCUGGGCUGGGGGCUGUGGAGGGUCUGGGCAGACCGAGGUGCCACAGGGGCACUGAGCCCCUCGGGUGUGGGUGUCUGGGGUGGGCCUGGGCGCCUGUGGGUGCUCGGUGUGGGUGACUGGGGUGGGCCUGGGCGCCUGUGGGUGCUCGGUGUGGGUGUCUGGGGUGGGCCUGGGCACCUGUGGGUGAUGGCUCCUGUGGGGUGCUCAGUUCCACAUCAGCUGAGGUACCAAAGAGGUGCUGCUGGGGUGUGCAGGUCUGUGGCAGUCAUGGCCGCACACGGUCACAUAUGUUUAUAUGUCAUCAUAAUCAACACUAUAUUUUCCUGAGUUUUAGUAACCUAGCAUUUCUACAGAAGUAAAGUGUUUUUCAUGUUUUACUUCCCCAGUCCCUCUCAGAAGACUUGUGAAGCAGGCUGCACAGUCCCUGUGUGGGAAGGAAAUGAAUGGCAGAAGAGCAUGUCUCUGCAGAAGACCUGACUGGUUGGUGUAAUGUAAGGACGAAACAAAGAGGAGUCCCAGCCCUCGUUGAUUUCUUCUUAGAAGUAUGCCCAGGAGGGAAAACCAGCCAUCCCCAUGAUGCAGCUUUUUUUCUGACUGGGCAUAUUGCCUCCUUGCCUCUGGCUCGAUACCUAGAUGAAAGCCACCCGUUCAAGUUUCAACUCUAUUGCGUGCUCUGUGGC
rnacentral:lncRNA from 1 species